rnacentral:rRNA from 1 species
GAAUUGGAAAUGGGCGAGAGCCUGAUCCAGCCAUGCCGCGUGCAGGAAGAAGGCCUUCUGGGUUGUAAACUGCUUUUGCCAGGGGAUAAAAAGUCCCUGCGGGGAAAAUUGAAGGUACCUGGUGAAUAAGCCACGGCUAACUACGUGCCAGCAGCCGCGGUAAUACGUAGGUGGCAAGCGUUGUCCGGAUUUAUUGGGUUUAAAGGGUGCGUAGGCGGUCUUAUAAGUCAGUGGUGAGAUACGGCAGCUCAACUGUCGAGGUGCCAUUGAUACUGUAGGACUUGAGUACAGACGAGGUAGGCGGAAUUGACGGUGUAGCGGUGAAAUGCUUAGACAUCGUCAAGAACACCGAUAGCGAAGGCAGCUUACUAGGCUGUAACUGACGCUGAGGCACGAAAGUGUGGGGAUCAAACAGGAUUAGAUACCCUGGUAGUCCACACUGUAAACGAUGAUUACUCGAUGUUGGCGAUACACAGCCAGCGUCUUAGCGAAAGCGAUAAGUAAUCCACCUGGGGAGUACGCCGGCAACGGUGAAACUCAAAAAAAUUGACGGA